UGAGGAAGUAGUUUGUGAGGUAACAUCGGUAUGCAUGUGCGCAGCGGUAAUGCGGAUUGUCGGGUAGCACAGGUUGCUAACGUGCUGCAGUCAAAGAUUUCGAAAUUAUGGUCCAACUUUGUCAGUGGGGAACAUGCAAUCCCGACACUCAUUACCCAGAGCGUGUAGAGGGCGGAAUACAAUUUUCUACACUUCCAAACCCAAACGGAGUCUAGAAUAACGCAAGAAAUGGAUCAAGGCCUGCAGCCGACCUCAUGUCCUGAUGAAUGAAAUUGUGAUCAACGGCAACUACUACAUGUACAAAGAUUACCAUGGCACCCACCGUAAGAGGGAGACAUCCCAUUAAGUGUCAACAACAUGGAAGGAGGUGAAAAUCAUGCUGCUUUGUAGGGAGCAGAAAAAAAUCCCACCGGGCUUCCUAACACCAGAGGACAUGUGAACGUGUGAGGAGGACUACCAGAGACAACAGAGGCAGCAUGAAUGUCGCCAGAGGAUCCCUUCUCUCACCCAACCACCCUGUUAGAACCUCAUAACCUGUUUCAAAUGAAAUUAGCAUAAUUAAGUAUUAACAUGCAUUAAUUGUUGUGUUUAAUGCAAACUGAGGACAAAUGUGUAAUUUCCUGCGGAAGAACCGCUAAAUGCUUUGUCACCUCCCCAGAGGCGUUUUAGGUGAAAAUAUAAUAAACGGAUAAAUAAAAUGGAGAACAAGCAACUGUUUUGUCUAGAUGCAAUGAGGAUUGGAGUUAUUUACAGUGUAGGUAGUUCAAUGCAGGUAAUUAAUGGACUGGGUGCUACACUCGCUGUCAUGCUUGCUUAGAGGCAUGCAUUUGUUUGUGGUGUCAAUUAGAACUGUGAAAAAAACUGAUGCUUCCAUGCAUGUUAUUCCAAGACAUUAUAUUAACUAACCACCAUUUCUUUCACGUGUGGCAUACUGAUGAAAUAAAAAUACUGUGUUGAGGCCUU